rnacentral:lncRNA from 1 species
AUGCACCUAUUUAAAGUGCCACGACUCCUGGAGAGGCAGAGGAGAGCCUUGCUGUGUGCUGGGGCCGCUGUGCCCACCACUGCCAGGAGAAGAGGAGCUGGGCAGGCUCCGCGGGGUGCUGCCGCCCUCCUGAAUGCCUCUGCACAACCUGGGGGCUUUUGGACGAAGCCUGCAAAAGCACAGUUAUUUAACCCAAUGUAUUGCUGCAGUACUCGAAGAUGCACACCCCGUUUGGGCUGCCCUCGUGUGUGCAGGUUAUUAUACAGGGGACUGCGAUGGGGACUGGACUGCAGGCUGUGGCUCCUUCAGCACAGGGAGCGAAUGGACCCGUUAGUUCAUUAGCAGCAUCUCCCCGCUCUGUUGUUUGGUUUGAGGAACCAAAGUCCAUUUUACUGCUGAAUUUUAUGUGAUGCUGGAGGAGGUAUUCUUGAGAUAAACAGUAUUACCCACCAGAGACUGAUAUGAGAUGAUAAAAGCCAUUUUAUUUACGGUAUUUUCAGCUAUCUUGUCAGUGUAAUGUAUAGCAUCUUGGGAAAAUGCUGGAUUUAUUUUAACCUUGCUCUGAGAAGUGGAUUUGCUGUAUACCUGUCCACUGAGCCACAGCUCUCGUCUGCUGAUUUUUGAUGCUGUGAUUUACGUUCAGCUUUCUGGGUCACAAUAGCUGUGGCAACAUACUGCAUAUUACGCCUCUCCUAGAAGUAUAACCAUGAAGGCAACGUCUCUUAUUUUAGCACUAACAAGUGCAUUUACUUCACAUUGCCUCGGGAAGGGCAGAGGACACUUAUACCUUGCCUACGUAAGGGCUGGUUCCUGCAGCUGCCCGUGCCCUGCAGCCACUGGCUCUGCCACUGUGCUUGCAGGGCAAAGCACAUCAUGCUAAGAAGGGCCAACUCUUAUACCCAACCCACCGCCAACAAAAAAAGUAGCCACUACAUGAUAGCAACUGCCCUGCCCUGAAAAUGAGUCCGUCACAUUUUUAGGCAACUUUUCCCUCUGAGGGAAGCCCAUUUUUAUAUCUUACCCAGCCAGGUGUUUGGGCUCUGUUUUUAAUUCCAGAGUGUGCUGAGCAGAAGCUCACAAUGGUGAGAUUGGCAGCCCUGCCACAGACCUUGGCCCAGCCAGUACUGAGUACUGUCAGCAGGAACCUCACAUCAUUUAUGGUGUUUGUGGUGAUGACGGGGAUAUCACAGCUUUGGGUCUGAAGAGAGAUUGGCUGUGCGCUCUUCCUGCCAGUGGAGCUCUGUCUGGAAGGGAUUUCAUCCCAGAACGAUGCCCAAGAAUGGACCAAAAAUGACUGCUGGUGUGGGAGGUCAGUGCUGGCUUUGCUGGUGACUUUUUGUGGGUUUUCCUUUCUGGUUUGCAAUUUGUGCCUCUCAGAGACAGUAUUGGCACAGCAGCACACCGACCUAACUCUGCCUUUUAACAGCAAAGAAAUAGUAAGUACAGCUUAAAAGGAUGACUGCUUAAUCAUAAAAAACUGCCUCCAAACGUUGAAUUCAACGUGGUUCCAUUUGUACCAAACUCAAGAAAGAAAUUUAUUAUUCAGGUGCAAUGAGGCCUCCUAUCAAGACAUCUCCUCACUUGCUCUCCAGAUCCUCUCUCGUCCCUGACCUUUUCCAUUUGUUUUCAGAGUUGAUGUUGCUUUCAGUGAAUGGAUUUUAACUGCUGCCUUUCGAGGUUCAGCAGAGUUCUGUAGAGAUAAAAUUUGAAAGUCUGAAAAAUUAAAAGUCUUACCAGAAGAGAAGCAACUUGGAGACAAAAACAACAGACUGUUUUUAUAAACCGUUUUGUCACUGUGUAGACUGUUCUGGUUUAAACCUUCUCACAUGUGCUAAUGUAAGCUGAACUGAUUCAGAAUAACAAUCUGCAGGUGUUUUGUUCACGUACUGUGUGAUAUGUUGUUGACAUUAAAGGCUAUUCAGACCAUAUCUAAUAUAUGAGGACAUGUUUUGUCUUUUGCCCCUGAUACAACACCAUAAAUUCUCAAUUAUUUAGCUCUGAAUUUUUUAUAUUUUAGAUUUUUUUUCAUUAAAGCUUUGUUUAGAAACAUCUGCAGUUUUUGUGAGAGAGCCCCUGAUAUCGUCCUUAUUGAAUCAAAGAAAUUAUUUAAAUCUAAAUAUAUUUAGUGAGAUAUCACUCGAGUUGGCUGUGGCCAGAGCACAGCAGUGCUGGAAGCACGGCGCAUUUGGUGGUUGAGCUGCCUGUGCUGACCCCUGAAUGAUCACCCCGUUUUGCAUUUCCCCUGUACCAACACACUGCUGCUGUGCUUCUCCUCUGAUGUGUGACCUCGAUGUAACGGGUGCUGCAUCCUGCCCGCAGCUUCCAGAACUGGAGUCCUCACUCUUCCUCCCUCCUUACCCACACAGCUGGGUUGUGCUGAGCUCCUCCAGCCCUGCAGGCAGCCUGGGCAUGGGGCUGCCAGCUGGAGGGCCCUGGUGAAAUGCCACUUCAUGUGGCAGCACGGCUCGUGGUUGAAAGGUGAGACCCUAAGCAAACACGUGUCCACGUGGGGUGAAAGAAAUCAGCCAACUGGAAUGAGCUGGAGUUUUGAACCCUGUCCCAAAACUUGUUUUUCUUUCUCCUUUCCUCUUGUCUCUGUAAAGCCUUUCUUUACUUUGCCCAGAGAAGCUGGAGGUGCCCAAGGCCAGGCUGGGGGGCUUUGGGCAACGUGGUGUGGUGGGAGGUGUCCCUGCCCAUGGCAGAGAUUUGGAAUUGGAUGGGCUUUAAGGUCCCUUCCAACCCAGACCAGCCUGUGAUUCUGUGAUUUAAAAAGUAAAAUACAAUAGGUUUUUGAGAUGUAAUUUGGUACAUGCUGGGUUUGCCUUAGGAGACAAUAUUCAAAUGCUAGAAGAAAUAAAGGCAAAGGCUGUGGUUAAUUUGACUGGUCA